AACGCUGGCGGCAUGCUUUACACAUGCAAGUCGAACGGCAGCACGGGAGCAAUCCUGGUGGCGAGUGGCGAACGGGUGAGUAAUAUAUCGGAACGUGCCUUAUAGUGGGGGAUAACGCAGCGAAAGUUGCGGUAAUACCGCAUACGCCCUGAGGGGGAAAGCGGGGGAUCGAAAGACCUCGCGCUACUAGAGCGGCCGAUAUCUGAUUAGCUAGUUGGUGAGGUAAAGGCUCACCAAGGCUUCGAUCAGUAGCUGGUCUGAGAGGACGAUCAGCCACACUGGGACUGAGACACGGCCCAGACUCCUACGGGAGGCAGCAGUGGGGAAUUUUGGACAAUGGGGGCAACCCUGAUCCAGCAAUGCCGCGUGAGUGAAGAAGGCCUUCGGGUUGUAAAGCUCUUUUGUCAGGGAAGAAACAGCAGCUCUAACACAGCUGUGAAUGACGGUACCUGAAGAAUAAGCACCGGCUAACUACGUGCCAGCAGCCGCGGUAAUACGUAGGGUGCAAGCGUUAAUCGGAAUUACUGGGCGUAAAGCGUGCGCAGGCGGUUAUACAAGACAGGCGUGAAAUCCCCGGGCUUAACCUGGGAAUUGCGUCUGUGACUGUAUGGCUAGAGUGUGUCAGAGGGGGGUAGAAUUCCACGUGUAGCAGUGAAAUGCGUAGAUAUGUGGAGGAAUACCAAUGGCGAAGGCAGCCCCC
rnacentral:rRNA from 1 species